AAUAGAUACCCUGGUAGUCCACGCCGUAAACGAUGAGUGCUAAGUGUUAGGGGGUUUCCGCCCCCUAGUGCUGCAGCUAACGCAUUAAGCACUCCGCCUGGGGAGUACGGCCGCAAGGCUGAAACUCAAAGGAAUUGACGGGGGCCCGCACAAGCGGUGGAGCAUGUGGUCUAAUUCGAAGCAACGCGAAGAACCUUACCAGGUCUUGACAUCCUCUGACACUCCUAGAGAUAGGACGUUCCCCUUCGGGGGACAGAGUGACAGGUGGUGCAUGGUUGUCGUCAGCUCGUGUCGUGAGAUGUUGGGUUAAGUCCCGCAACGAGCGCAACCCUUGAUCUUAGUUGCCAGCAUUUAGUUGGGCACUCUAAGGUGACUGCCGGUGACAAACCGGAGGAAGGUGGGGAUGACGUCAAAUCAUCAUGCCCCUUAUGACCUGGGCUACACACGUGCUACAAUGGAUGGUACAAAGGGCUGCAAGACCGCGAGGUUUAGCCAAUCCCAUAAAACCAUUCUCAGUUCGGA
rnacentral:rRNA from 1 species